CAGCCUUCUUUCUUCUUCUCCUCGAUCUACAAUCUCCAAGUCACCAACUCUACUUUUGGAUGUGUGGAAGAGAGGCACCCAACUUUUGGGCAUGGAAAGGAAGAGAGGGAGGAGAGGAGGCAUGGAGAAGGGAGAGAAUAUUUUUCUUGAUCAAAAAUUCAACCACAUAAGAAACCCUAGAGUCCUCUCUUUAAAUAGACACUGCCCUGACACAUAUGAGGAAUCUAAUCAAAUUAAAAAGGUAGAUCCUUAUCUCAUAAGAAUCCUCUAUCUUUUUAAUCAGAUUUAUGUCAAAUAAAAUCAAAUAU
rnacentral:lncRNA from 1 species